GCUUGCACUCGGUUGAGACGAGUCUCAUCCGGUAGAGCGAAUGAUUAGAGGCAUUGGGGUCGAAACGACCUCAACCUAUUCUCAAACUCCAAAUAGAUGAGAUCCCCGGCUUUCUAAAAGGAAGCCGGGGUGGUAAGCAGAACUGGCGCUGUGG
rnacentral:rRNA from 1 species